UGCGGAGUGAGCAUGCCGCAUCACAAGGGCCACCCAGAACUGGCUCAACUCCCAUCAAGCAAGGUUCCCGGAGGAGAUCACCCAGCUCAUCAUGCUAGAGCACGUUUUCAAUGGGCUCCCCAAUGCGCCUACCAUGGUGAGCAUGGGUAACGGGGAAUCAGGGUUUGAUUCCUGAGAGGGAGCCUGAGAAAUGGCUACUACAUGCAUGGAAGGCAGCAGGCGCGCAAAUGACCCACUCCCGACGCGGGAUGGUAGUGACG